GACGUAGGUGGCGAACGUUAUCCGGAAUUAUUGGGCGUAAAGGGUGCGUAGGCGGCAUGAUAAGUUAUUGGCGGUAAAUCGAGGCUCAACCUCGUGGAAACUAAUAAUACUGUUUUGCUUGAGUACAGAAGAGGUUAACGGAACUCCAUGUGGAACGGUAAAAUGUGUAGACAUAUGGAAGAACAUCAAUAACGGCGAAGGCAGUUAACUAUUCUGUUACUGACGUUGAGGCACGAAAGCGUGGGGAGCAAAAAGG
rnacentral:rRNA from 1 species